UAGGGAAUAUUGCGCAAUGGGCGAAAGCCUGACGCAGCAAUGCCGCGUGAGUGAGGAAGGCCUUCGGGUUGUAAAGCUCUGUCAGAUUGGAAAAACGGUCGAUAUUCGAAUAGGGUAUUGAAUUGAUGGUACAAUCAGAGGAAACACCGGCUAACUUCGUGCCAGCAGCCGCGGUAAUACGAAGGGUGUAAGCGUUGUUCGGAUUUAUUGGGCGUAAAGCGCGCGCAGGCGGAUUUUUAAGCCAGAUGUGAAAUCUCGGGGCUCAACCCCGAAACUGCGUCUGGAACUGGAGAUCUAGAGUAAUGGAGAGGGAGGGGGAAUAUCUCAUGUAGGGGUAAAAUCCGUAGAGAUGAGAUGGAACACCGGAGGCGAAGGCGCCUUCCUGGCCAUUAACUGACGC
rnacentral:rRNA from 1 species